AUUGGUAACGAUAGCAAAGUGGAUACACCUGUUCCCAUCCCGAACACAGAAGUUAAGCACUUUCACGCCGACGAUAGUGUAAGCGAAAAUAGGUAGUUGCCAAUA
rnacentral:rRNA from 1 species